rnacentral:rRNA from 1 species
AUUGAACGCUGGCGGUAUGCUUAAGACAUGCAAGUCGAACGGUAACAGGUUAAGCUGACGAGUGGCGGACGAGUGAGUAACGCGUGGGAAUCUACCUUGUAGUGGGGGAUAAGCCAGGGAAACUUGGACUAAUACCGCAUACGCCCUAAGGGGGAAAGGCGCAAGUCGCUAUAAGAUGAGCCCGCGUCUGAUUAGGUAGUUGGUGGGGUAAAGGCCUACCAAGCCGACGAUCAGUAGCUGGUCUGAGAGGAUGAUCAGCCACGUCGGGACUGAGACACGGCCCGGACUCCUACGGGAGGCAGCAGUCGGGAAUAUUGGACAAUGGGGGAAACCCUGAUCCAGCAAUACCGCGUGUGUGAAGAAGGCCUGCGGGUUGUAAAGCACUUUCAGUUGGGAAGGAUAAUGACGUUA